UGGAGUGUGACAAUGGUGUUUGUUGUCUGAGCUUUCAAACGCCAUUAUCACACUAAAUA
ensembl:miRNA gmo-mir-122 gmo-mir-122